rnacentral:rRNA from 1 species
AAUAUUGCGCAAUGGAGGGAACGCUGACGCAGCGACGCCGCGUGAGCGAUGAAGGUCUUCGGUUCGUAAAGCUCUGUCCUUGGGGAAGAAGGUCUUCGGACUCGACGGUACCCAAGGUGGAAAACCCGGCUAACUAGGUGCCAGCAGCCGCGGUAAGACGUAGGGGGCAAGCGUUGUCCGGCAUUAUUGGGCGUAAAGGGUGCGUAGGCGGCCUUUUAAGUCAGAUGUGAAAGCCCACGGCUUAACCGUGGGACUGCAUUUGAAACUGGAGGGCUUGAGUAUCGGAGAGGGUAGUGGAAUUCCCAGUGUAGCGGUGGAAUGCGUAGAUAUUGGGAGGAACACCAGUGGCGAAGGCGACUACCUGGACGAAAACUGACGCUGAGGCACGAAAGCUAGGGGAGCAAAC